AUUGAACGCUGGCGGCAUGCCUUACACAUGCAAGUCGAACGGUAACAGGUCUUCGGAUGCUGACGAGUGGCGAACGGGUGAGUAAUACAUCGGAACGUGCCUAGUAGUGGGGGAUAACUACUCGAAAGAGUGGCUAAUACCGCAUGAGAUCUACGGAUGAAAGCAGGGGAUCGCAAGACCUUGUGCUACUAGAGCGGCCGAUGGCAGAUUAGGUAGUUGGUGGGAUAAAAGCUUACCAAGCCGACGAUCUGUAGCUGGUCUGAGAGGAAGAUCAGCCACACUGGGGCUGAGACACGGCCCAGACUCCUACGGGAGGCAGCAGUGGGGAAUUUUGGACAAUGGGCGCAAGCCUGAUCCAGCAACGCCGCGUGCAGGAUGAAGGCCUUCGGGUUGUAAACUGCUUUUGUACGGAACGAAAAGCCCUGGGUUAAUACCCUGGGGUCAUGACGGUACCGUAAGAAUAAGCACCGGCUAACUACGUGCCAGCCGCCGCCGCGGUAA
rnacentral:rRNA from 1 species